rnacentral:rRNA from 1 species
GCAGUCGAGCGAGCGGACCAGCAGAAUCACUUCGGUGAGGACGCUGGGAAAGCGAGCGGCGGAUGGGUGAGUAACACGUGGGGAACCUGCCCUUAAGUCUGGGAUACCACUUGGAAACAGGUGCUAAUACCGGAUAAGAAAGCAGUUCGCAUGAACAGCUUUUAAAAGGCGGCGCAAGCUGUCGCUAAAGGAUGGACCCGCGGUGCAUUAGCUAGUUGGUAAGGUAACGGCCUACCAAGGCAGUGAUGCAUAGCCGAGUUGAGAGACUGAUCGGCCACAUUGGGACUGAGACACGGCCCAAACUCCUACGGGAGGCAGCAGUAGGGAAUCUUCCACAAUGGACGCAAGUCUGAUGGAGCAACGCCGCGUGAGUGAAGAAGGUUUUCGGACCGUAAAGCUCUGUUGUUGGUGAAGAAGGAUAGAGGUAGUAACUGGCCUUUAUUUGACGGUAAUCAACCAGAAAGUCACGGCUAACUACGUGCCAGCAGCCGCGGUAAUACGUAGGUGGCAAGCGUUGUCCGGAUUUAUUGGGCGUAAAGCGAGCGCAGGCGGAAGAAUAAGUCUGAUGUGAAAGCCCUCGGCUUAACCGAGGAAUUGCAUCGGAAACUGUUUUUCUUGAGUGCAGAAGAGGAGAGUAGAACUCCAUGUGUA